rnacentral:lncRNA from 1 species
CCCCCCUCCUCCUCGUCGUCGUCGUCUCACCCAACGAACUUUUCCGGCGAACUCCCCGACGAGAUCGAUGGCCGCCGGCGAACGGCAAUCGAACAAGGAGUACUAGGACGCCCUUCUUUGUUGUUUCUUCUCGGCAAGAUCAGUUGGUUGGCACCACCUGCCAUUCUUGGUUUGGAAGUGUGGGAGGGAGGGGUUCGGUUGGUCGAUGCCGUUGCGGUUGCCGUGCGCGAUGGAGACGAGGCCACCGCGGGCGGCGGCGCCGGCGCCGGCGAGGGUGUCGAGGUUCCGGAGGCUGCUUGUGCGGGUGUCCGCGGAGCCGGAGCGGGCGGGCGGCGGCGGCGGCGGGGAGGUGAGGGAGAAGGAGGAGAAGGCAGCGGAGAUGGAAGUGGGGUCGGUGGGGUUGGACCGGAUGGUGCUCAGCUUCAUGGAGGAUUCCGCCGCCGCCGCCGUGGAGCGGCCCCCGCGUGGCCGCUGCGGCAGCUGCUUCAACGGCGGCGGGGACGGCAGCGACGACGAGGAGUUCGACUUCCUCCCCUCCGACUCCUCCGCCACCGCCGCCGCUUCGGCCGCCGCCGCCGCCGGCGACGCCCUGGACGCGUUAAAGGGCUUGGUGCAGAGCGCGAGCAUGGCGGAGAGGAACCUCCUCGCCGACGCGUCGAGGAUCGCCGAGAGGUGCCGCAAGGGCGGCAAGAAGAAGGCCGACGUCCGCUGCGCCGUCGCCGACGGCCUCGCCGCCCUCGGCUACGACGCCGCCGUGUGCAAGUCGCGGUGGGACAAGACCCCCUCCUACCCCGCAGGCGAGCACGAGUACAUCGACGCGGUGGUGGCGGCGGAGACGCGGCUGGUGGUGGAGGUGGACUUCCGGUCGGAGUUCGAGGUGGCGAGGUCGACCAAGGCGUACCGCGCGGCGCUGCAAGCUCUCCCGCCGCUGUUCGUCGGGACGCCGGACCGGCUCGGGCAGAUCGUCGCCGUCGUGGCGGAGGCCGCGCGGCAGAGCCUGAGGAAGAAGGGCCUCCACGUCCCGCCAUGGCGGAAGCCGGAGUACAUGCGCGCCAAGUGGCUCUCCCCGCAAGUCCUCCGCUGCUCCGACAAGCCGCCGCCGCCGCCGCCGUCGCCCCCGCCCACGCCGGUAUCGCUCUCCAGCUUCUCCGGCGAGUUCGAGCUACGCUUCGACGCCAAGACCCCACCAAACCUCAGCGCCACCGCCGCCGGCGACGACAACGACAACGACAACGACGACGAGGUCGAGGCGAAGAAGAUUACGAUGGUGGUGUCCCCAUCGCCGUGGCGCCCGGUGGAGCCGGAGGCGGCGAGCAAGAAAAGGUCACCGCCGCCGCCGCCGCGGCGCCCCGAGGGGAAGGUGGUGACCGGGCUCGCCGCCGUGCUCUAACCGCGGCGAAGAACUCACUUUACUACACUAGCUAAUUAACCAGCUCUCCUCCCUCGCCAAUUUUCUCUGUUUUUUUUUUCAUUUUUCCAUCGCCGCUUUGAUCCGUCCGAGGCUUAGCUCAUGGUGUUUUCUCAGUUUUUUUUCCGAUUUUUUGGAAAAAGACAUUUACAGAAAACACCUCCAUUUUUCUUUUUUCUUUUUUUUAUUCUAGAACAAAUUUUGGUUUCCACAAAAGGGAAGUGCAAGGAGCAGUAGCUGUGACAGCUUCUAGGCCCCCUAUUGUUGAGAAGAGGAUGAAAAAUGAAAGUAUGAACUAGAGAUAUGCAACAUUAUCUGGUUGCUUAAUCAGAUCUU